AUAAUUAACAGAAACUAACAAAA
rnacentral:snRNA from 1 species